CACGUAGGGCGCAAGCGUUGUCCGGAAUUAUUGGGCGUAAAGAGCUCGUAGGUGGUUUGUUACGUCUGCUGUGAAAACCCGCGGCUCAACUGUGGGCUUGCAGUCGAUACGGGCAGGCUGGAGUUCGGUAGGGGAGACUGGAAUUCCUGGUGUAGCGGUGAAAUGCGCAGAUAUCAGGAAGAACACCCGUGGCGAAGGCGGUUCUCUGGGCCAUAACUGACGCUGAGAAGCGAAAGCAUGGGGAGCGAACAGG
rnacentral:rRNA from 1 species